rnacentral:rRNA from 1 species
UCGACGAUGACGGUGGUGCUUGCACCGCCUGAUUAGUGGCGAACGGGUGAGUAACACGUGAGUAACCUGCCCUCCACUUCGGGAUAACCUCGGGAAAUCGUGGCUAAUACCGGAUAUGAGCACUCAUCGCAUGGUGGGUGUUGGAAAGAUUUAUCGGUGGGGGAUGGACUCGCGGCCUAUCAGUUUGUUGGUGAGGUGAUGGCUCACCAAGACGAUGACGGGUAGCCGGCCUGAGAGGGCGACCGGCCACACUGGGACUGAGACACGGCCCAGACUCCUACGGGAGGCAGCAGUGGGGAAUAUUGCACAAUGGGCGAAAGCCUGAUGCAGCGACGCCGCGUGGGGGAUGACGGCCUUCGGGUUGUAAACCCCUUUCAGUAGGGAAGAAGCGAGAGUGACGGUACCUGCAGAAGAAGCGCCGGCUAACUACGUGCCAGCAGCCGCGGUAAUACGUAGGGCGCAAGCGUUGUCCGGAAUUAUUGGGCGUAAAGAGCUUGUAGGUGGCUUGUCGCGUCUGCCGUGAAAACCCGAGGCUCAACCUCGGGCGUGCGGUGGGUACGGGCAGGCUAGAGUGUGGUAGGGGAGACUGGAACUCCUGGUGUAGCGGUGAAAUGCGCAGAUAUCAGGAAGAACACCGAUGGCGAAGGCAGGUCUCUGGGCCAUUACUGACACUGAGAAGCGAAAGCAUGGGUAGCGAACAGGAUUAGAUACCCUGGUAGUCCAUGCCGUAAACGUUGGGCACUAGGUGUGGGGGACAUUCCACGUUUUCCGCGCCGUAGCUAACGCAUUAAGUGCCCCGCCUGGGGAGUACGGGCCCGCAAGGCUAAAACUCAAAGGAAUUGACGGGGGCCCGCACAAGCGGCGGAGCAUGCUGAUUAAUUCGAUGCAACGCGAAGAACCUUACCAAGGCUUGACAUGCACUGGACGGCUGCAGAGAUGUGGCUUUCUUUGGACUGGUGCACAGGUGGUGCAUGGUUGNCGUCAGCUCGGGUCGGGAGAUGUUGGGUUAAGUCCCGCACGAGCGCAACCCCUUGUUCUUUGUUGCCCGCACGGGAUGGGGGG